rnacentral:rRNA from 1 species
UACAGAGGGGGCAAGCGUUAUUCGGAAUUAUUGGGCGUAAAGGGCGCGUAGGCGGCUUUGCAAGUGACGGGUGAAAUCCCUCGGCUUAACCGAGGAACUGCCUGUCAGACUGCAUGGCUUGAGACCGGGAGAGGUGAGUGGAAUUCCCAGUGUAGCGGUGAAAUGCGUAGAUAUUGGGAGGAACACCAGUGGCGGAAGGCGGGCUCACUGG